rnacentral:lncRNA from 1 species
GCCUUUUCAACAAUUCUCAAUUGUUGGGUUUCAUUAGACUGGAUAAACAAACAAGACCAUAAAACAAAACUGGAGAUGGAUUCUACCUUUAUCAGUAAAGUUAAUUCAAUAUAUACAUGGAAACAUGUACAGUUCCCCAGCUUUAAAUGAUUACAGUGCUCAAAUGGUUAGCUCUCUACAUCAUACACAAUAUUUGCAUACUACACCGCUAUGCUAAAAAAUGUAAGGGAAAAAACAACAAAAAAAGUGGGGAAAAUGAUACAACAGCCAGCCAAAAGGUGGGGGAAAAUAAUACAACAGCCAGCCAAAAGGUGGGUAAAAAAAUGAUACAACAGCCAGCCAAUCGAAACAGCACAUUAUCAGCAUCCUCUGCUAAAUCCUAAUACAUAUUUCAAACAAUAAGUUCUAAAUAAUCUAACACAUUUCAGACUUCAGCAAGUUAAACCCAUUACAUCAACAUGAUGGUUUAAUUAAUCAUGUGCUAAUAACUGAAACAUAAAUUCAAAUCAAAAGCUAAUACUUCAUAGCAAAAGUUCCACUUCUCAAUGUAAGAAAAGAAUUGUCAUGACUUGAAUCCCCAACAGUGAAGUCGCUUGAUGGCCAUCACAACCCAGAGUUUAAAUGAACAGUUUCCUUUCUCAAAACAAUUGUCCCUACAUCACGCAGAAGUCCAAAUUGUUUUCAAUUCAGAAGGCAUUAACAGAAAGUAGAGCAGGUAUAACUCAUAUAAAGUGGAAAACAAUUACAUCCACAAUUCAGUUAAACACACAGAUAAACUCAGUUAAAAAAUUUCCUCCAAAAUUCAAUUACAUAAGCACAGGUAGGCAUAAGACUGAGGAUAUAAUACAUUUAUCCCAGAAACAAACACAUUUCAAGCAUUGGAUGCUGCAAACCAAAAGCUUUAGACCAUAGAAACACGUAUUUGAAGUACUGACGUGAUAAUAUUAAAAAAUAUUGCCUUCUAAACUUCAUGUACACCGUAUCAAUCCAAGAAAAUAUAAUUGAAAAUCACUUUACUUUCUUUUCUUCCUUCUCUGCCUAAACUAAAUAUACUUUCAACUUGAUAUCAGAACAAAUGCGACCAUAGCCUAAAGCCAUUAUUUUUCCACUCACGUUCUAAAAAAACAAAAAUUCUGAACUCUCAAGAUUGGUGUCAACUACACGGAUUAAAAAAUGUCAUAGUAUUCUUUCAAUUACCAGUUUUUCAGAUAUGCAACCUAUAUCUAAAUCUUCUUUUAAAUAUUUUACUCACUUUUUCUUGUCCUUCCUCCACCUCUAAUUGAGUUUCAUUUUCCCAUUGGCCAUGCAAAACUUCCAGGCAAUGAUCCCCACACUUUCCUUCCAUCCAUGCUACUUUCUCUCUCCUACCACAACUGACCCUAUCAU